AUUCNNUGGGCGUAAAGGGCGCGUAGGCGGGGUCGUGGGUCGGCCGUGAAAUCCACCGGGCUCAACCCGGUGAACUGCGGUCGAAACUACGACUCUUGAGCUCGGUAGAGGAAGGCGGAAUUCCNUGGUGUAGCGGUGGAAUGCGUAGAUAUCAGGAGGAACACCGGUAGCGAAGGCGGCCUUCUGGGCCGUAGCUGACGCUGAGGCGCGAAAGCCGGGGGAGCGAACAGGAUUAGAUACCCUGGUAGUCCCGGCCGUAAACGAUGGGUACUAGGUGUAGGGGGUACUGACCCCCUCUGUGCCGCAGUUAACGCAUUAAGUACCCCGCCUGGGGAGUACGCACGCAAGUGUGAAACUCAAAGGAAUUGACGGGGCCCCGCACAAGCGGUGGAGCAUGUGGAUCAAUUCGACGCAACGCGAAGAACCUUACCGGGGUUUGACAUGGGCCGGACCGGCAUGGAAACAUGCCUUCCCUUCGGGGCCGGUUCACAGGUGCUGCAUGGCUGUCGUCAGCUCGCGUCGUGAGAUGUUGGGUUAAGUCCCGCAACGAGCGCAACCCUCGUCGCCUGUUGCCAUCAGGUUAAGCUGGGCACUCUGGCGAGACUGCCCGCGAUAUGCGGGAGGAAGGCGGGGAUGACGUCAAGUCCUCAUGGUCCUUACAUCCCGGGCUUCACACGUGCUACAAUGGCCGGUACAAAGGGUUGCAAUACCGCGAGGUGGAGCCAAUCCCAAAAAGCCGGUCUCAGUUCGGAUUGGAGUCUGCAACUCGACUCCAUGAAGUCGGAAUCGCUAGUAAUCGUGGAUCAGCAUGCCACGGUGAAUACGUUCCCGGGGCUUGCACUCACCGCCCG
rnacentral:rRNA from 1 species